rnacentral:rRNA from 1 species
CCUACGGGUGGCAGCAGUGGGGAAUAUUGGACAAUGGGCGAAAGCCUGAUCCAGCCAUGCCGCGUGUGUGAAGAAGGCCUUCGGGUUGUAAAGCACUUUCAGUGGGGAAGAAAGCCUUGGGGCUAAUACCCUCGAGGAAGGACAUCACCCACAGAAGAAGCACCGGCUAACUCCGUGCCAGCAGCCGCGGUAAUACGGAGGGUGCGAGCGUUAAUCGGAAUUACCGGGCGUAAAGCGCGCGUAGGCGGUCUGAUAAGCCGGUUGUGAAAGCCCCGGGCUCAACCUGGGAACGGCAUCCGGAACUGUCAGGCUAGAGUGCAGGAGAGGAAGGUAGAAUUCCCGGUGUAGCGGUGAAAUGCGUAGAGAUCGGGAGGAAUACCAGUGGCGAAGGCGGCCUUCUGGACUGACACUGACGCUGAGGUGCGAAAGCGUGGGUAGCAAACAGGAUUAGAUACCCCAUAGUC